rnacentral:rRNA from 1 species
UACAGAGGUCUCAAGCGUUGUUCGGAUUCAUUGGGCGUAAAGGGUGCGUAGGCGGCGCGGUAAGUCGGGUGUGAAAUCUCGGGGCUUAACUCCGAAACUGCAUUCGAUACUGCCGUGCUUGAGGACAGGAGAGGAACGCGGAAUUCCAGGUGUAGCGGUGAAAUGCGUAGAUAUCUGGAGGAACACCGGUGGCGAAGGCGGCGUUCUGGACUGUUUCUGACACUGAAAGACGAAAGCCAGGGGAGCAAACGGG